CGCAUUUAUACGUCAGCCUGCCAGUGACACACUGUUGACGGCCGCGGUACUCUGACCGUGCGAAGGUAGCAUAAUCACUUGUUCUUUAAAUGGGGACUAGUAUCAACGGUGCCACGAGGGCUUCCCUGUCUCCUUUUUCCAAUCAGUGAAACUGAUCUCCCUGUGAAGAAGCAUGGAUACUAAUAUAAGACGAGAAUACCCUAUGGAGA
rnacentral:rRNA from 1 species